rnacentral:tRNA from 2 species
GGAAGAUUGUCCGAGUGGUUUAUGGUGCUUGCUUGGAAAGCAAGUGUGGAUUAACGUCCACCACAGGUUCGAAUCCUGUAUCUUCCG